UAGGGAAUAUUGGACAAUGGGUGAGAGCCUGAUCCAGCCAUGCCGCGUGCAGGAAGAAGGCGUUAUGCGUUGUAAACUGCUUUUUGCCAGGGGAUAAAAAGACCGUGCGCGGUUAAUUGAAGGUACCUGGUGAAUAAGCCACGGCUAACUACGUGCCAGCAGCCGCGGUAAUACGUAGGUGGCAAGCGUUGUCCGGAUUUAUUGGGUUUAAAGGGUGCGUAGGUGGCCCUGUAAGUCAGUGGUGAAAUAUCUCAGCUUAACUGAGAGGGUGCCAUUGAUACUGCAGGGCUUGAGUACAGAUGAGGUAGGCGGAAUUGACGGUGUAGCGGUGAAAUGCAUAGAUAUCGUCAAGAACACCGAUAGCGAAGGCAGCUUACCAAGCUGUAACUGACACUGAGGCACGAAAGUGUGGGGAUCAAACAGGAUUAGAUACCCAUGUAGUCCCUGAGCGGGCUGGCAAGGCGCAU
rnacentral:rRNA from 1 species